GACGAACGCUGGCGGCGUGCCUAACACAUGCAAGUCGAACGAACGGCGGAGAGCUUGCUCUCUAAAGUUAGUGGCGGACGGGUGAGUAGCGCGUGAGUAACCUGCCUGUCAGAGGGGGAUAACGUUUGGAAACGAACGCUAAUACCGCAUGAAACCACAGUAUCGCAUGAUACAAUGGUCAAAGGAGAAAUCCGCUGAUAGAUGGACUCGCGUCUGAUUAGAUAGUUGGUGAGGUAACGGCUCACCAAGUCGACGAUCAGUAGCCGGACUGAGAGGUUGAACGGCCACAUUGGGACUGAGACACGGCCCAGACUCCUACGGGAGGCAGCAGUGAGGGAUAUUGGUCAAUGGUCGAGAGACUGAACCAGCCAAGUCGCGUGAAGGAAGACGGUUCUAUGGAUUGUAAACUUCUUUAGUCGGGAGCAAAAAGAGUGACGAGUCACUAAUUGAGCGUACCCGAAGAAUAAGCAUCGGCUAACUCCGUG
rnacentral:rRNA from 1 species